UUCAAAUCCUAUUGGACGCA
rnacentral:tRNA from 1 species